rnacentral:lncRNA from 1 species
AGCGGAAUCAAGUUUUGAUAAAGAAACUAAAUUGCGAGAAAUGGAAGGUACAUAAAGUGUUUGAAAUAAAUCUAAAUGAUGUCCAGUAUCUAAAAUCAAACGAUAGGUUCCAAUGGCUUCAACUGGAGCUUUGACUCGAUUUCCCAUGAGGACAAACUUUUCAUUUGGAUUUAUGGUCUGGGUUGAAAGGAAUCCCUUUACUUUCGAACCAUGCCUUACGUUUCAGGCAGUCCUUUUUAUGGUGCCCAGGUUUGCGACAGAAAUGGCACAUGUCUUUCUUGUGUUCCUUAUUGUGGAUUUGGGCAGAAGACUCAUUUAUCUUUAGUGGUCCUUGCUUAAUGCCCUUUCCAGACCUUUUCUUAUAUUUCUUUCCAGCUCCUUGAUGACUUACAAGAUGAAUAGAAUGAGUUCCUUGAUUCUUAAGCCUUGUCUCCUCUUGCACGAGCAUACUGUGCAAUUCAUUCACAUUUCAU